rnacentral:rRNA from 1 species
GAUGAACGCUAGCUACAGGCUUAACACAUGCAAGUCGGGGGGAAACGAUAGAGAAAGCUUGCUUUCUCUAGGCGUCGACCGGCGCACGGGUGAGUAACGCGUAUCCAACCUGCCCAUCACUUGGGGAUAACCUCGCGAAAGUAAGACUAAUACCCAAUGAUAUCUCUAGAAGACAUCUGAAGGAGAUUAAAGAUUUAUCGGUGAUGUAUGGGGAUGGGUCUGAUUAGCUUGUUGGCGGGGUAACGGCCCACCAAGGCGACGAUCAGUAGGGGUUCUGAGAGGAAGGUCCCCCACAUUGGAACUGAGACACGGUCCAAACUCCUACGGGAGGCAGCAGUGAGGAAUAUUGGUCAAUGGGCGAGAGCCUGAACCAGCCAAGUAGCGUGCAGGAUGACGGCCCUAUGGGUUGUAAACUGCUUUUAUAAGGGAAUAAAGUGAGCCUCGUGAGGCUUUUUGCAUGUACCUUAUGAAUAAGGACCGGCUAAUUCCGUGCCAGCCGCCGCCGUAA